UACGGUAGGGGGCAAGCGUUGUCCGGAAUCAUUGGGCGUAAAGCGCGUGUAGGCGGCCAGAAAAGUCCGCUGUGAAAACUCGAGGCUCAACUUCGAGCUGUCGGUGGAAACUUUCUGGCUAGAGUCCGGAAGAGGAGAAUGGAAUUCCUGGUGUAGCGGUGAAAUGCGCAGAUAUCAGGAAGAACACCCGUGGCGAAGGCGGUUCUCUGGGACGGUACUGACGCUGGAGACGCGAAAGCGUGGGGAGCGAACAGG
rnacentral:rRNA from 1 species